UGGUGCUUGCAUCAUGAUUUACAUUUGAGUGAGUGGCGAACUGGUGAGUAACACGUGGGAAACCUGCCCAGAAGCGGGGGAUAACACCUGGAAACAGAUGCUAAUACCGCAUAACAACUUGGACCGCAUGGUCCGAGCUUGAAAGAUGGCUUCGGCUAUCACUUUUGGAUGGUCCCGCGGCGUAUUAGCUAGAUGGUGGGGUAACGGCUCACCAUGGCAAUGAUACGUAGCCGACCUGAGAGGGUAAUCGGCCACAUUGGGACUGAGACACGGCCCAAACUCCUACGGGAGGCAGCAGUAGGGAAUCUUCCACAAUGGACGAAAGUCUGAUGGAGCAACGCCGCGUGAGUGAAGAAGGGUUUCGGCUCGUAAAACUCUGUUGUUAAAGAAGAACAUAUCUGAGAGUAACUGUUCAGGUAUUGACGGUAUUUAACCAGAAAGCCACGGCUAACUACGUGCCAGCAGCCGCGGUAAUACGUAGGUGGCAAGCGUUGUCCGGAUUUAUUGGGCGUAAAGCGAGCGCAGGCGGUUUUUUAAGUCUGAUGUGAAA
rnacentral:rRNA from 2 species